GCACGUCUCCCAGGGCGCGGGCCCCGGAGGACUCUGGCGUUCCGUUGCAGGCCCUUACACAUCUGCACCCCACUGCGCCCCGCUGGAAACCUCCACUCACAGCCGCCCUGAAGAGACCCUAAUCCUCUCAUGGAGACCCCAAGCCCUCCCGAUGAAACCGCCACCAAUCCUCCCAUUGGAGGCCUCCCACCCAGCCUCUCUAACGGAGAGCUAAUCCCCCGCCCAGGCCUCCAUGAAAACACGUUUUCCCUUUAACAUCCCGCACCUUCCAAGCUUGAAGGAGACCCCACAUACCUACAGGAAAGCCACCUGGGGGCUUCGUGGACCCACGUGGUGGCUCAGCUCUGCCCUCCCGCUGAGGACCUCUGCCUCCCUUUAUCAGCCGUUUUGGGAACUCCAACAUCGAAGCCUCCUGUUAACACAACAGUCCCUGAUAGAGAUUAACUCAAUGCAAAUGAAAGGAUUUGAGAGCCGAGAUCACCAGCCUGCUACCUACCCCUGCUCCCCCUUGGGAUUCACUUCCAUGAACACCUCAAUUUCAUCCCCUCUAGGGCCAGAGGGAUCAUAAAGGAAGCAAUAAUCACAGCUACCAUUAGCCACCCUUUAAUGAGCGGGUGAGUGCCCUUUCUGCAUCAGACACAGUAUUUCCGUACAUCAUUAGUGCCAAUCCUCACAAUAAUCCUGUGUUCAUCUCCCUAAUUUACAAAGAGGAAACUGAGCCACAUUCCCAAGGUCACAUAACUAGCAACGAGUGAAGAAGCCAAGAUUAGUGUCCAGACUGAAUCAUUCCAGACACCUGUGACAUAGUCAUGCUUUAAGGUGGCACCUUUGGCCACAAGUCCAAAGACAUUUUUAAUAUUAGGCUUUUUUUCCUUUUUUUUUUUUUUUUUCCAAUUUUCUGUCCCGAAAUGCCAUUCAUCACUUCUGCCAUUUUAGUUCUUAUAAAUGCAUGGAGUGCCUCCCCACCCUACCC
rnacentral:lncRNA from 1 species